GGGAGAGGAGACCAGUGAGGCCUGGAUCAAAGGAGGGGCCUGUGGACCACCUGGACUUUUCAAGCACAUGUGCUCUAUAGCAAAAGUCACACACACACAAAAAAAAAGGAGUGUGGAAACGUGGAACAACUUCUCUGAUGAAGGAGUGAGCCAAGCCACAUGGAUUUGUGGAUGGCAGCGUGGCUGGUGCAAAGGUCCUGAGAUACAAGAAGGAAACUUUCUUCAAUGCCCCACUGACUCAUCUGAAAGCUUGAUCAAUAAACUGAAUUAGCC